AUUGAACGCUGGCGGAAUGCUUUACACAUGCAAGUCGAACGGCAGCACGGACUUCGGUCUGGUGGCGAGUGGCGAACGGGUGAGUAAUGUAUCGGAACGUGCCCAGUCGUGGGGGAUAACGUAGUGAAAAUUACGCUAAUACCGCAUACGAUCUAUGGAUGAAAGCGGGGGAUCGCAAGACCUCGCGCGAUUGGAGCGGCCGAUAUCAGAUUAGGUAGUUGGUGGGGUAAAGGCCCACCAAGCCAACGAUCUGUAGCUGGUCUGAGAGGACGACCAGCCACACUGGAACUGAGACCCGGGCCAGACGCCUACGGGAGGCAGCAGUGGGGAAUUUUGGACAAGGGGCGAAAGCCUGAUCCAGCCAUUCCGCGGGCAGGAUGAAGGCCCUCGGGUUGUAAACUGCUUUUGUACAGAACGAAAAGGUUUCUACUAAUACUAGGGGCUCAUGACGGUACUGUAAGAAUAAGCACCGGCUAACUACGUGCCAGCCGCCGCCGUAA
rnacentral:rRNA from 1 species